GCCCUUCUCGGGUCCCCUAGGUCGCGGGGCAGCCGGGGCGGAAGGGGCUUGUUCAUUAUUUUGAGAGUUUGUUGUGAACGUCAUAACCUUUCGUCCUUAAAUAUUGCCGAUACUUGACCUACGCAAGAGACAAUGUCAUGUGAUUCAGCCUAAUAUCUCAUUUCUUGUUGCCUAGAGCCAGUUCCCAAACUUUUGUUUGGGACACAGAACUCACCAUGGUGGUAGUACUGGUAGCAGCUGGGUGCCUCAGCCCCUGCAGGAUGGAGAUCCACUCUGGCAGACCUCCAGGACCCUUCACAUUCCACACCAUCUGAAAAAUCUCAAGAGAUAUGUAAUAAGGACUUAUGAACAGAAGACAUGUCUGUGUGCCAGGCAGCUGUGAGACAAAAUCGUGGAUCUCCGCACUGUAAACCCCCAGACCCAGGACUUACAUAACCUAGGGAAAUGUUGUUUCAGAAGGGAUGUGUAGGACAGUUGAAGUACAAGAACAUCAAGGUCAUUUCACCCAAGGGCAGAAUUUAUGGAGGAUGCAGCAUUCAAGGUUCUAUCUUGGAAGCAGAGACUGUGCCCUCACCAGAUGCUGAACCUGCUGAGCACCCUGAUCUUCCACUUCACCUUCAUCAGAACUACUGGGGCUGUGGCUGAGAUGUCACAUGGCAGAUAGGAUCACAAAUUUCUGUUGUAUCUGGAUGGAGAUCAGCAGGAGGAUCUAUGGACUGCUGUGAUUGCACCUGCCAUCUUAUGCAGAAAUGACCUGAAGACAGACUGAAACAACGUGUUCUACAGCCUGAAAAUAUCUACCUUGACUUACAGUUUUAUUAAUGCUGGUGUGAUCAGACUGGACAAAAAUUAGCAUAUGUUAUUAACUGAUCUAAUUCAAGUGCCAAUUCUUAAUAGAAACACAAAACAAUAAAAGCAAUUCAGAAAA
ensembl:lncRNA LINC00882 long intergenic non-protein coding RNA 882